UAGCUCAGUCGGUAGAGCAUGAGACUCUUAAUCUCAGGGUGGUGGGUUCGGGCCCCAC
rnacentral:tRNA from 1 species